UACGUAGGGUGCGAGCGUUGUCCGGAAUUAUUGGGCGUAAAGGGCUCGUAGGCGGUUUGUCGCGUCGGGUGUGAAAACCCAGGGCUUAACUCUGGGCUUGCUUUCGAUACGGGCAGACUAGAGGCAUGCAGGGGAGAACGGAAUUCCUGGUGUAGCGGUGAAAUGCGCAGAUAUCAGGAGGAACACCGGUGGCGAAGGCGGUUCUCUGGGCAUGUCCUGACGCUGAGGAGCGAAAGUGUGGGGAGCGAACAGG
rnacentral:rRNA from 1 species